rnacentral:rRNA from 1 species
GGCCUAACACAUGCAAGUCGAACGUGAUCCAUGACUUCGGUUGUGGUGAAAGUGGCAAACGGGUGAGUAACGCGUGGGAAUCUGCCCAGAGGUAGGGAAUAACCGCGGGAAACUGCGGCUAAUACCCUAUGUGCCCUACGGGGCAAAGAUUUAUCGCCUUUGGAGGAGCCCGCGUCGGAUUAGGUAGUUGGUAGGGUAACGGCCUACCAAGCCUACGAUCCGUAGCUGGUCUGAGAGGAUGAUCAGCCACACUGGGACUGAGAUACGGCCCAGACUCCUACGGGAGGCAGCAGUGGGGAAUAUUGGACAAUGGGGGCAACCCUGAUCCAGCAAUGCCGCGUGAGUGAUGAAGGCCUUCGGGUUGUAAAGCUCUUUCGGCGGGGAAGAUGAUGACGGUACCCGCAGAAGAAGCCCCGGCUAACUUCGUGCCAGCAGCCGCGGUAAUACGGA